AGUUCGGACUGCAGGCUGCAACCCGCCUGCACGAAGCCGGAGUUGCUAGUAAUCGCGAAUCAGAAUGUCGCGGUGAAUGCGUUCCCGGGUCUUGUACACACCGCCCGUCACACCAUGGGAGUUGGGAAUGCCCGAAGCCGGUGACCUAACCGAGAGGGAGGAGCCGUCGAAGGCAGGUCUGAUGACUGGGGUGAAGUCGUAACAAGGUAGC
rnacentral:rRNA from 1 species